rnacentral:rRNA from 1 species
GACGAACGCUGGCGGCGUGCUUAACACAUGCAAGUCGAACGGAAAGGCCUCUUUCGGGGGGUACUCGAGUGGCGAACGGGUGAGUAACACGUGAGUAACCUGCCCUUUACUUUGGGAUAACUUCAGGAAACUGGGGCUAAUACCGGAUAGGAGCUCCUGCUCCACGGUGGGGGUUGGAAAGUUUCGGCGGUUGGGGAUGGACUCGCGGCUUAUCAGCUUGUUGGUGGGGUAGUGGCUUACCAAGGCUUUGACGGGUAGCCGGCCUGAGAGGGUGACCGGCCACAAUGGGACUGAGAUACGGGCCAGACUCCUACGGGAGGCAGCAGGGGGGAAUAUUGCACAAUGGGUGGGAGCCUGAUGCAGCAACGCCGUGGGCGGGAUGACGGGCUUCGGGUUGGAAACCGCUUUCGCUCAUGACGAAGCUUUGUGUGACGGUAGUGGGUAAAGAAGCACCGGCUAACUACGUG